ACUCGAAGUCAGAAGCAAAAUGAUUUCGUUACCAACGCACUGUACGAUUUAUCCGUAUUAAUCAAUUAAUAAUAACGUUUUUAAGUUUAUGCGUAUAUUAAUAACCUAUAGUUAUAAAAAGGUGUGGCACUCACAAACAAAAUAUUAAUUUAAGUUAAUGUACUUGAUAGGUAUUAUGUAUGUAUAAUAAUGUAUUUUGAAAAUAUAAAGAAACGAUUAUUUAAUUCACACCUGUUGUGUUCAAUCGCCUAG